ACAAUCUCUGCCAACUGAGCUCGAGUCGAGGAUUUUCUACGACAGGUGCUGAAACGCAGCGAAGGUUCCAACCUCGUCGUCAGACGGGAGAAACAGAGGAGACGAGGGAACCGGCGGUUCCAGCUGAAUUCAGGAACGUCAGACCUGAGUCGAGAACAAACAGAACGUCCUGACAGCAGGCGACGACAGAGACAGAGAGAGCGAGAGGGUUUAACCACAACGCUUCCAGCAACAUCGUUCAGAGACACCAGGCCACAUAUCAGAAGGCCACUAUCUGAGUAAAAGGAUUUCACUGGGAAGAAAAGGAACGGGUGGGAAAAAAAAAAAAAGCAGAUUCCGUGGGAGGGAGAGAAACGAGCAGACGAGUCCUGGAAACGGGGAAAAGCACGAAAAACAACAGUUCUCAGGUCGGUCCAGGUAUCCUCCGUCCAUGACAAACUUCAGAACCUGCUCAUUGGAUAAACCUUGGUACGGCUGCUCUGCCAGUGUAGUGAUCUCCCACAGGACAACACCGAAAGACCUGCAAACACACACA